rnacentral:lncRNA from 1 species
CCACCAUAUCUCUACCCCACUUGCAAUUUGACGCACCAUUAUGUCGGCUGGGACCAGGACAAGAAAAUUGCACACCACUAGAUGGCUUCUCUUGACACACUGGAAACGCUAUAACCCCAGUAUAGCCAUGAGUUCCUUCUGGUUGAGCCAUAUUGAAAUGGUUCCUAUUGCUAAAAUGAGAAAAAUAACUACCUGACUUCUCUCUGCUGGAUCCUACAUUUUCAGCUGUUGUGAACAAACUAUUUCUUCCAUAGCUGGACUGAGGUUUUUGCCUGUGGCUGUUUUCCUCAUGCAACAAUCUGAAUGCCUCAUUAGCAUAUACUUUAGUGAAAUCCAGCAUUCCAGCAUUCCUUGUGUCAUUGGUUGUCUCUGAAAGAUGAUAAUCAUUUCUAGUUUCAGAAAGACACCUCUCGUACUGAUUUCUUGCCAUGAGUUCAACAAUUUCCAUAGGUAUGUCAUCUGAUGUUCCUUGUUCAAAUACUUCAUCAACUCUGUGGUCACUGUGCUUUCUAUUAGCUUCUGAAAGUUCUUGAAAUUCAAUGGCUUUCUCCGUGUUGCAUUUCCCAGAGAAAUCCUGUGAAAACGAUAAUCAAUACUACCCCAAACAGUACACUUCCAAAGUAAUGAAACAUCUAAAUUCUAAGCAUAAAAAGGGAUGACUAAAAAGUUAAAUUAAGCACAUACAAUCAAACAUUAUGCAGAACCUGCAUGAUAUAUUUAAACAUGCGCAUAUGCAUCCAUGUACCAUGAGAUUAGUGUCGUGCAAAAGGAGAUAUAAAACCCAACAACGGUAAGAAAACUAUCAUAAUUUGCUUCAACGUUGAAUGAUUCAAUCAGCACUGCAACAUAUUUAGGCCAUACCAACAUGCUUACACAUAGGACAAAUAAAACUCUUUCCUUAAUACAGAAAACAUGAUAGUCAUAGCAGAGUUCUCAACUAUGCGGGAUGGACUUGAUUUCCUCACUCACAAGGGUAAGGUGACUACACAUUUAAGCUAUUGACACCAUCAUGAAAAAUGACAUUAGAGUAAGAAAGAUAUUCAUAUUCUCUUUGGAAGGUGACAUUCAUAUUUUGCAUUUUCCUUCACCAAAAAAUUGAAUCCAUCUUUCCAUCUAUUUCCAUCCCACCCCCAGAUGAACGGACUACAAGAAUUUCUACCUUCACAACCAGUUCAGGAUUGGCUUCAAUUACAAAGAAAGGUGGUAAGAGCAUUUAUUGAAGUCAGAAAUUGAUCUCUACACAAAUAUUCCCUGUCUCAGUCAGGUGGUGUUUGUUUUUUUACUUAAUUCUAAAUAGAACCUUAAUACUUAAUAGUAUUAAAUAUUAGGUUGUUUGUUUUUGUAAUAUUUUAUUUCUAUUAAGUAUUAAAAAGUAAAAAAAACUAUUGUGUUAUUUUUUCUAUUUAGAAAAAGUCACAUAUUUUGGCUUUUUCUAUUUAGUAAAAAGUUUAUAAUAAGUCAUGAAAAAGUAAAAAAACAAACAACCUAAAUUCUAAAACUAAAUGGUUUUAAGCAAAAAGCCAAAAAAACAAACACCAGUUCAAUCUAUACGUGGCAAAACUAUUAGAAUUCAAACAAGAGGUUUCCUUUGUUAUUCUCAUGUUCAGACAAAAUAUUCUGUAGGACAAACCAUGUCAUGAAAAAAAAUUGCAUCUAGAUUACCAGUAAUGGAUCAUGUUGGGAGUAACGGAGGAGAGAGAGACAAAGCACCCCACACAUUUAUAAUAUAAAUGUUCUAAGGAAAAUAUCUUAUUCUAGCAAAUAAUAGUAUGAAAAGAAAGGCUCGUACCACUUUCUGCUUCAGAGAAGAAUCCCAAUCUUCAACCCUGGGGGAGCAGUUUUGUUUUUCACUCAGGAAAGGGAUUCCAUGAGCAGUUCUCUUACCAUUGAUAUCGGAAUUCACCCCUACCCCAAAUAAUCUAUCUGGUACGGGAAUAAAAGGGAUACUGCAAACUCCAAUAUGCUGUUUUCUUUCCACAUCUUUCCUCAUAACUACAUCUUGAACCGGUGCAACAUAUUUUGCAUCAUCUUUUCUCUGUGCAGCCAAGCUUUUGCCAAUCUUUUCCGGCGGAAUGAUCUUGUACUGAUUGAAAUGGAACAGUUUGAGGAGUAGACCGCAAACAUUCUACUUCCUUCCUUGUGAUUUGAUCUUUGCUGAUGACUCCACUUUUCCAAGGCAUUAAAGAAGCCUCCCUAUCUUCAACUAGAGGCAUCUUAUUUUUCUUCUUAGACAAAAUAGAUUUUCCCUCAGUUUGUUGUGCAGGCAAAUUUUUAAGAAAAGCCUCAGUCCUUUUACCCGUAAAUGCAUCAUGUGGUGAUUUGGACAAAACAGCAUCAGUAGGAUUGCCUGUGUCUGCAUCCCCAAUUUUGUCCUGAAUUUUUCUGCCAAUCGCUACUUGUGGAGGCAGUAAUGAAGAGCAUCCAUCAUCUACUGAGGUCUUCUUAUUCUUCUUCUUACUGGGACCAGAUAUUCUAUCAGUUUUGGGUCUGGUCCAACGAGUCUUUACACCAGUUUGUGAACCUAUUCCAGCAGGUCCAUCUUCUUCUGAUUCAGCAUUGUCAAUUGCAGUGUUGAUGUCAGUUAUUGAUGUCAGUUAUUUCCACAUCUCCUUUGAAUGUCCUAAAUUUUUUAUUCACAUCAUUUUGACAGCAUCUUCCUCUUCCUAUUCUGUCCCCUAAAACUUCUAGCAUUUCCACGGACAGCUACUUCACCUUGGGGAAUGGAAAGUGAAUAUAUGCUGGUAGAUGCAUCAAUCAUUGCAUUGGAGGUAGAAUUAUUUCCAUUUGCACCCAACAAGUCUGUCAGCAAACGCACCUUUUGAGAUUUUCUUCGACGCCAACCACUUGAAUUAUCAUGUUGUCGAUUAAAGCUAUUUUUAAUCAAAAUGUCAUCGCUCUCAGAUGAUGCUUGAUCUGAGUCAUCUAAUUCCAGUGGUGGAUGAUCCUUUUUAUGGACACUGACAGAGUUGAGAGCUUCAUCAACCACAUCAACUGCAGUGACUGCUUUGGACGAACCCCAAGCUGUCUUGUUCUGAUCAUCCAUUGAAGUGUGCUUUCCCAUUUGAUUGUUUCAGCAGAGCUGUUGAUCAUGGAUUAGAGUUUUCCAACAGUAACCCCAAUAUCAGCAACUUCAUAAACUCCAUUGCAGUUCAAUUCAAGAGCCACUGUUUCAGAAAAUAAAGUGUAAUUACUAUGACUGAACACAGCUAAGUUGCAAAGUUGCUUGGAGGCUUUGUGAUUCACAGUAAAAUUACCUGUGUCACCUGCCAUUUUUUCCACCAUCAGGCAUGGAUUCACUUUCGCUGCACCACAAGGUGGUUCAGGAAUGACCUGAUCUGCAUCAUCUUCUGAGCGAUUCUCAUCACCCGGAAGAAUAAAAUGAAUGAGUCAAACACGCUGAUAUGCUCAAUAAGAUGUUUAAGUAACAAAUUCAAUUGAAGUAUACAUAUGAUGAUGCUACAUGCAACCUCAGCUUGCUUUUCUUGCUUAUCACUACACAACGAAGCACGAUUUCUUCCCUCAGAAAUGUCCACAUUCAAAGCUCUUGGAUAAUCUAAGAGCAACACAGUCUCAGAACCAUGGGAUGUCAUGUGCAAACAAGUUCCAUUGGAUUUAUAUACAGUGUUAUUACAGCUAGGAACCGUUGCAAUUUCCUUCUCAGCAUCCUUGGUGCCAAUCUCCUGAAGACAGUUUUGGCAAUGCCACCGUCUAAAUUUGGGCAAGUCUAGAGGAGGAAGGAUGCAGGUUUGCUCCUCCAACUUAUUUUGGCUUUCAUCCAAGGCAAAAGGCCAACAAAUCUUCUCGUCUCUUUUCCGAACUUCAGCUACAUAUCCACUGCAUUCACAUUCAAAUGGACUUAUUAAGAAGUAAGCUACUUCCAGCUUACGAUGGUAUGUUUCAGUGGACAAAAGAAUAAAAUUUAAACUAAUUUUGCGUUUAAAGAAUAAAUAAAUAAAUAAACAAAUGGUAUAGCUCAGUUGCAUGUAUAAAGUACCAGAUCUUCGUAAGUUUAUAUCAACAAUAAUAGAGAAAAAAAAAAAGAAUUAAAAAUAAUAAAUUAUUUUAAUAUUCUAGUUCCAACUUAUAUUACUUAUUUUAUUCUUCUUAUGAAAAAUUAAAUAAUUUGAAAAUAUAUAAUUACUUUUUACUAAUUUUAAUUAUAUUUAUUUUUUUAUUGUAAAAUCUAACAUUAAAAAAGAAAUAUUAUUAUUAUUAUUAUUUAGUAUUUUAGGGUAACCAAACAUAAUAUUACUGCUACAGAUUUUGCUGAUUUCAACCACCAUGUGAAGAAACUGAGACCCAAAACCCCACAUUAACACUUGUGAGGUGGACCUGUACGUAUACAAUGGCCUUCUGAUUCGUUUCCUCGAGGCUAACGGUGAGAGGCGACAAUGUUCAGAAUGCCAAUACUGCAACCAGGACUAAAGGGGUACUUAUGCAAAACUCUGUGUUGUUUACAAGGAAAAGCUCGACUGAUUUUAUGUAGUCUGCGAGCUGAAAUGCAGUCAAUUUGGACAGCUGAUCACAGAACCCACCAAAUAUCCAUGCAUUCUCCACUGUAAGGCUGUUUGAAUUACUUUAAAAAAUAGAGAUAAUUUUGAGACUUUUUUUUAUAAAAAAUAAUCAAAUAAAAUCUGCUUUGUACGAUAACACCCAAGUCCAGUGGAACCCUAGCUCAGACCCAUUUUCGGAAUCCAAUUAUGUUCAGUCCAAAAUAGCUCAAACAUGGUCAAAGUCAUGCCAUCUUGCCAACCACAUUACGCCCAGAACGGUCUGAUAAGCAUUAAAGAUUUGAAAAAAAAAAAAAAAAAGGGAAAAAAAGAAAAGAAAAAAAUCAGAGUCCAAGAAUCUAUAGCUAUCACAAAUCUUGAACAUAAAGCUCAAUCACAUUAUUUUAUAACACUGAAUUCAUGACUAUAACGCCAUGAAAUAUUAUAAUUAUGUUCUCAUCUCAUCAUGAUCAUUUGGCUUGUUGGAGGAAUGGCACCAUUCAUCGAACUGUUGCCGCAUCUCCUCUUGAAUUUUGGCAACGACCCCAUUGUAUCCUGUAGGAAGUAUAUAUAUAUAUACCUAGAAAUGGAUCAAUGGAUCAUAGCCUUGAUUUUUAAGCUCUCUGAACUCCUGACACAAGGCACACAAGGCGCACAAGGCGGUCAGUCAAUGGCAUCUCGGCAAGUUGAUAAGCAUCUCUUACUCUUCGUCUAUACCGAACUCCAAUAUUCCAAUGAUUUAUUGCAAAGAACAAGUAGAAAUAAAGCGUUGCCCCAGUGACAUAACCUGCAAUUUGGAAUUCAGUGCCAAUUACUCAAGUGGACAAUAGAGAGGCAGAACUGCAAGGACUAAAAGAUUGUAGCUAGCUGUGUAUGAUUUGUAAUCUAAAAAUAAUAGGACACUUAGAAUAUUAUUUGCUCGGGUCUUUAAAACACAUCUAUAUAAGAAGAGUUCAUGCUUAGUAUCAAAAACUUUUUCUACUUUUCGGAACACCACGUGAUUGCUCGUGAAAAGACACCAGCAAAGAGUGGAAAACUAGAAUCUUGUCACUGUUUGGAAUGGUGAGACUUUUUCAAGCUUUCUUCUCUUUUUUUCUGACUACUCAAUGAGAAUCAUGCACUAAGACCAUUACUGAAAUUCAAUGGGAGAAAAAGGAGACUUACUCGUACUGCCAUUGUCCACUAUCUCAGCGAUUUGGCCGAAGGUCACGUAUGGUGCUACGGUUGUUAUCAUUGCUGCAUGCCCGAAAGAAAAAACGAAACAUAUAAUAGGGAUGAAAAAAAUAAUUUCCUAUGUCUAUCAGAGAUUCAGAAGUAAACUCCUUUAAUGUAUUUAGUCAUGGAGUGUUGCAUGAAAAUGGAACAUAUAUAAACCAUUGAUAGGGUGCUGGUAGCAGUCAAAGAGGCCACUGCUCCAGGGGUUGCCAACAGCCUGAAUAAGAAUCAGAUGUAUCUGUCCAGACUCCUGCCUUGUCACGGGCACGAGAGCAUUAGCACCGCCACCUCCAGCGCUACCCUCCAUCUUGUUAGCCUCUGGCAGCGGGGCGGCAUACAUCACAAGCUGGUCGUUUGGACGCGGCGGCUCAACCACUUGCAUUCUAGGCUGGGGCGGGAACGCUACUGCUGGGAUUGAGUCUAUCCCAUUCUCCAACUGUGGCUGCUGCUUCCUCACGUUUGCAGUUUCUGGUGCCAACUGCACUGGCUGGUUGCUUGAGGGUGGCGCGUGGCUGUCACUGGUCUGCGGUGGGAAGGUCACAGCAGGGGUUUUGUCUGUGUUCACCGUCAGGUGGAGGUGUCACGUGAGGCACGUGAUGAUCAUUCGUGUGAGGCUCGGCCGUGGGGUGUUGUGGGGGUUCCUGCUCCAUGUGUUGUGGUUGUUGAUGAUCAUCAUGAGCCGGGGAGGAGGUGGUAGUGUGGAAAUGAGGUGCAGGUGGUAAAGAUGGGGCUGCAUCUGUGUCGUCCGAUGAUAGGGGUUGCUGAUGAUCAAGAUUUGCUUCUGGGGUUGUUUCUAGUUUCCCCAUUUUCUCAAAAUCAACCUCCAUAGAAGAUAUCACCAAUCAGAUCGCCAUUUUCAUAUUGUUCUUCCCAAACCAUACAAGAAAUCCAACCGCACUCGGUGUGGAAACACCUCGUUUUAAUCCUUCAUAAAUUGAUCCGACUAAUGCAGAUGUCACCUUCAAAAAAAUGGAGGACUUAAUUAUCUUGGUGUGUAAUCUUAUUCAGGAAAGCGAAACAUUUUGAGGUUAUCAAAUCGGUUUUUCUGAUUGUCAUUUGUGUGAUAUUUACUAGACAAAUCUAUUUAAGCUUUUGUUUAAGGAUUGUAAAUGGCAGUUUGCGUUUGUCCCCAGAAGGCUAGUUUAUUCCCUGGAGUGGCUUGUGUUGUAAAAAUUAGAUGACAUCAUAUAACGUAUGUCCAUUCACACUACAUGUGCUUGAAACAGGAGAUCCGGAAAAUGCCCAGAGGUUCGGAACCAAAGUAUUAAGAACCCAACUGAUCAGUCAGAUCAAUCUCCAGUGGUCUCACUCACAGGAGUUGCAUCUUCAGACAUCUGUACCUGAACUUCAUGAACAUACCAAGCACAUGAGUCUAAUUCUAGUUCCAAUGCCAUGGCACACAUGAUAGACUAGAUUUCUAUAAUCAGAUGUUCAUAUGCCCCAUAACCCAUUUGAAAAUACUAGCUAAUUAUUCGAUUCUUGCCUAUUUUCCUAGCGAUGUAUCUACCCUUUCAUUUGGGUAUUUCUGCAUUGAAUCCAGGCUCAAAUUUUUUCAGCUGAGAAAGUAACACUCAACUCAGCAGGUCCCUUGCAGUAGCUAUUCUCUUCAUCCUCAAAAAACAAAAUCAAAAGGAACUGGGUUUCUUAUGGGACAUCCAAAUUAGGUUGGUACAAACUCAUAGAUUAUUUUCACUUUCCGGCAGGAGUUGAUUGGUUCCAGAGAAAAAACCCUGGAAAGGGAAUGAAUUAUGAAACAAGAAGAGAAGUAAGCAUCAAAUAUGCACUCCAACAGCAAAUCCUUCAUCCCAACAAGUGCCAAAUAUUCAGGAUUCAGGCUUCUGCAGCAUCACAGUCAUCGCAUAAAAUCACCCAUAAACAUCAAAAUAGGGGAUAUUCUUGCUCAAACUUUCAAUGAUGUCAUCCUCCAAUGAUUCUACAUACUGAAGCACCCAAAUUUCAUUAAACAUUGUCUCAUUCUCACCAAGUUAUUUGGUAAAACACUAAAUAAAUUACAAGCUUUGAAGUCCUCUCCAUUACAUCGAUUGGAGUCCAAAAAUACCUACUGUCCUGUUCUCUGUUUCCAUUCCCAUUUCUUGGUCAGGCACGGAGCAUAAGACUAAAACCCAAGAAAACUGAAGAACCAUGUGAGGCCCUAGAAAACCAAAGGGCAAUAUUGGGGCUUUUAUGAAACCUUGUCAAAUAUAACACCACCAUACAGACCCAAAAUCAAAACUGCAUAUAUGUAAAGUUUAUUUUUGCAAGAUUAUGGUAUAUGUAGGUAUAUACAGGCCUUUACCUCGCACCUAACAAGGCUCUCAUAGUUCAUCCCUGGACAUCGAAAAGGCCCAAAAAGAUCCAGAGCCAAGAGAAUCAUCACUCCUGAGCUGAUUAAAGAUCAGUUUCCAUGCAUAAUCUGGCACGCAUUUGCUAUCUGAUAUCCUCCACUAAGCAUACAAGGUUUUCUCUUUCUGCAGGAACCAGCAAGAAAAACUUCCACCUGCUGAAAAUGAAACAAUGAAGACUCAACUGAAAAUUCAAGAAACAGUUUUUUGUCUAAUGCACUUGAAAAGGAUGUGCCCAAUAACCAUUAUUUCAAUGAGAAAUGUAUUUGGAAGUGAACUGCUACUAGUAAUGAAAUCUGGGAGAAGCUCAUGCAAUUCGGCGUCGAGCACGUUCUUUUACAGAAGUGAGCUUUACAACCCUCUUUUUCUUGUGCCCAUCCACAUUGAUUAAGCCAUUUCUAUUCUCAGAAGAAAUUGAUUUUCCAAAUUUCAGAUCUUCAGCACCAAUCAUAUAGAUAUUUCCUGCUACUGGCACACUAAAAUCAGCUGGAUUUUUGUUAAUGCUGCAGAUUUCCGUCUCAGACCUGCUGUUGAUAGGCCAAAAAGUUCCACCAUUACAGUGGGUCUCCAAUGCAAUGCAUUCAAUUGAAUUUUCAAUCGUGUGAGGUUGCAAAGGAAACCUCAUUGAGUUGGAAGCACCAGGGAACCUUUUCUGCGUAUCAUGGAUAGGGAUAGAUUCAUGAUUUGUGCCAGAAUAAUCACCACAUGUGGAUGAAGAUUUUCUUGAUGUGCAGCCUCUGUUCUGAAUAGGUGGAGGAAGUACUUUUGAUUUCUCUUUUCCUCGAGAUCUUGGGAGAACUUGAUCUAUUAAACCAGCAGGCUUAAAAUUCCCAUCCUUUUGACUUGAAGAAGCAAAGGCACCAACUGACGUAACAGCAAGAGAACACGCACAGGAUCUUUCUGCAAGGUGAUUUUUACCACAAUGAUCAGAUGAUGGUUGUCUUGAGGAAUUUCUGGCCUUAUAUGCACCAAUCUCCAGGCCUGAGAACUCCCUAGAGUCAUAAUCACGAGGAAAAGCAGAUUUCUUAAGGAAUUUUGAAUCUCCAUCCAUACUGAAGGGGGUCCUUGAUUGCAUCCCUGAAUCCAUGAGGCUAAGUAAAUGCAUAGCUGGUAUGUUUUCAUUGGAAUACAGAUCUAAAGACCCCACGAGCUUUGGAUGAAGCUUGAUCCCAUUAUCUUUGCAAGCAAACGGAUAUUCCACAUGUGCUCUGUUCAAAGUUUCAGAACCAAUGCUCCUGUUCUGCUUUUCAAGGUCAAAAGCAUUUGAAUUUAAGAACUUCAGAUCUUGUUCGCCAGUCAUUUUUCUUUUGUGAAGCAUGUUUGACGAAUGUGAAAUCAUAUCCAUGUUAUUUGAAUGAGUUGCACAUUCUUGAGGAAUGCUGAAUCCAAAAGCCAUGUGAUUUGGUGUCAUGGCUGACCAAACAUGAGCAGCUUCUUCACUCUGUUGAGGAGCGUUGUAGCAUGCAUUGUAUGCUUCAAAGGCAUGCAAACUAGUAUGAGAAGACCUCUGCCCCACCAUAUCUCUACUCCACUUGCAAUUUGAAGCACCAUUAUGUCGGCUGGGACCAGGACAAGAAAAUUGAACACCACUAGAUGGCUUCUCUUGACACACUGGAAAUGCUAUAACCCCAGUAGAGCCAUGAGUUCCUUCUGGUUGAGCCAUAUUGAAAUGGUUCCUACUGCUAAAAUGAGAAAAAUAACUACCUGACUUCUCUCUGCUGGAUCCUACAUUUUCAGCUGUUGUGAACAUACUAUUUCUUCCAUAGCUGGACUGAGGUUUUUGCCUGUGGCUGUUUUCCUCCUGCAACAAUCUGAAUGCCCCAUUAGCAUAUACUUUAGUGAAAUCCAGCAUUCCAGCAUUCCUUGUGUCAUUGGUUGUCUCUGAAAGAUGAUAAUCAUUUCUAGUUUCAGAAAGACACCU